GACGAACGCUGGCGGCGUGCUUAACACAUGCAAGUCGAACGGAAAGGCCCUGCUUUUGUGGGGUGCUCGAAUGGCGAACGGGUGGGUAACACGUGAGUAACCUGCCCUUGACUUUGGGAUAACUUCAGGAAACUGGGGCUAAUACCAGAUAGUAACUCCUGCUGCAUGGUGGGGGGUGGAAAGUUUCGGCGGGUGGGGAUGGACUCGCGGCUUAUCAGCGUGUUGGUGGGGUAGUGGCUUACCAAGGCUUUGACGGGUAGCCGGCCUGAGAGGGUGACCGGCGACAUUGGGCCUGAGAUACGGACCAGACUCCUACGGGAGGCAGCAGUGGGGAAUAUUGCACAAUGGGCGGAAGUCUGAUGCAGCAACGCCGCGUGCGGGAUGACGGCCUUCGGGUUGUAAACCGCUUUCGCCUGUGACGAAGCGUGAGUGACGGUAAUGGGUAAAGAAGCACCGGCUAACUACGUG
rnacentral:rRNA from 1 species